UGACCGCUGGCGGCGUGCCUAAUACAUGCAAGUCGAGCGAACAGACGCGGGGCUUGCUCCUCUGACGUUAGCGGCGGACGAGUGAGUAACACGUGGAUAACCUACCUAUAAGACUGGGAUAACUUCGGGAAACCGGAGCUAAUACCGGAUAAUAUAUUGAACCGCAUGGUUCAAUAGUGAAAGACGGUUUUGCUGUCACUUAUAGAUGGAUCCGCGCCGCAUUAGCUAGUUGGUAAGGUAACGGCUUACCAAGGCAACGAUGCGUAGCCGACCUGAGAGGGUGAUCGGCCACACUGGAACUGAGACACGGUCCAGACUCCUACGGGAGGCAGCAGUAGGGAAUCUUCCGCAAUGGGCGAAAGCCUGACGGAGCAACGCCGCGUGAAUGAUGAAGGUCUUCGGAUCGUAAAACUCUGUUAUUAGGGAAGAACAAAUGUGUAAGUAACUAUGCACGUCUUGACGGUACCUAAUCAGAAAGCCACGGCUAACUACGUG
rnacentral:rRNA from 1 species